rnacentral:hammerhead_ribozyme from 1 species
AUCCAGCUGACGAGUUUCAAAUAGGAGGAAACGCGCGUCAAACUGGAU